rnacentral:rRNA from 1 species
UACAGAGGGGGCAAGCGUUGUUCGGAAUUACUGGGCGUAAAGGGCGCGUAGGCGGCCUGUUAAGUCGAACGUGAAAUCCCCGGGCUCAACCCGGGAACUGCCUUUGAUACUGGUAGUCUUGAGUUCGAGAGAGGUGAGUGGAAUUCCGAGUGUAGAGGUGAAAUUCGUAGAUAUUCGGAGGAACACCAGUGGCGAAGGCGGCUCAC